AACGUAGGGGGACGAGCGUUAUCCGGAUUUACUGGGGCGUAAAAGAGCGUUGAGGCGGUUCCGUAAGUUGGGCGUGAAAGCCCCGGGCUUAACCCGGGGAGGUCGUUCAAUACUGCGGAACUUGAGGGCAGCAGAGGGAGGUGGAAUUCCCGGAGUAGCGGUGAAAUGCGUAGAUAUCGGGAGGAACACCAGUGGCGAAGGCGGCCUCCUGGGCUGUUCCUGACGCUGAAGGCGAAAGCUAGGGGAGCAAACGGGAUUAGAUACCCGUGUA
rnacentral:rRNA from 1 species